AUCGCUUCUCAGCCUUUUGGCUAAGAUCAAGUGUAGUAUCUGUUCUUAUCAGUUUCAAGUGAAGUAAAAUACUUAGGGUAUCUGCUUUGAGCCAAGUGCUCUGCUGAGGUUGGGCAGUGGAGAUUUGAAACAGAC
rnacentral:snRNA from 1 species